AUGGUUGUCGUCAGCUCGUGUCGUGAGAUGUUGGGUUAAGUCCGCAACGAGCGCAACCCUCGUCGUAUGUUGCCAGCACGUAAUGGUGGGAACUCAUAUGAGACUGCCGGGGUCAACUCGGAGGAAGGUGGGGAUGACGUCAAAUCAUCAUGCCCCUUAUGUCUUGGGCUUCACGCAUGCUACAAUGGCCGGUACAAAGGGCUGCGAUGUCGUAAGGCGGAGCGAAUCCCAAAAAGCCGGUCUCAGUUCGGAUUGAGGUCUGCAACUCGACCUCAUGAAGUCGGAGUCGCUAGUAAUCGCAGAUCAGCAACGCUGCGGUGAAUACGUUCCCGGGCCUU
rnacentral:rRNA from 1 species